GAGCGCCGUAGCAAUACGGAGCGGCAGACGGGAGAGUAACACGUGGGAACGUGCCCUUCAGUUCGGAACAACCCAGGGGAACUUGGGCUAAUACCGGAUACGUCCGUAAGGAGAAAGAUUUAUCGCUGAAGGAUCGGCCCGCGUCUGAUUAGCUAGUUGGUGAGGUAACGGCUCACCAAGGCGACGAUCAGUAGCUGGUCUGAGAGGAUGAUCAGCCUCACUGGGACUGAGACACGGCCCAGACUCCUACGGGAGGCAGCAGUGGGGAAUAUUGGACAAUGGGCGCAAGCCUGAUCCAGCCAUGCCGCGUGGAUGAUGAAGGCCCUAGGGUUGUAAGUCCUUUCGGCGGGGAAGAUAAUGACGGUACCCGCAGAAGAAGCCCCGGCUAACUUCGUGCCAGCAGCCGCGGUAAU
rnacentral:rRNA from 1 species